rnacentral:rRNA from 1 species
UACGUAGGGAGCAAGCGUUGUCCGGAAUCAUUGGGCGUAAAGCGCGCGUAGGCGGCCCGAUAAGUCCGCUGUGAAAGUCAACGGCUCAACUGUUGGAUGCCGGUGGAUACUGUCGGGCUAGAGUACGGAAGAGGCAAGUGGAAUUCCUGGUGUAGCGGUGGAAUGCGCAGAUAUCAGGAGGAACACCCAUAGCGAAGGCAGCUUGCUGGGACGUUACUGACGCUAAGGCGCGAAAGCGUGGGGAGCGAACAGG